CACUCCCGGCUUUGUUCCGCGCGCCGACAUUUUUGUCUCGUCUAAUAAAUUCCUUCUAUUACACCAUUGAAGUUUCAAAGUAAUCAUGGCCAGCGGUGUAAAAGUUGAUAAUGAAGUUGUCGAAAUGGCGCAAGCGUUUAACAACGGAAGCGCCCGGGAUAAAUAUGCUUUUCUUACGGUGAGAAUCGCUGAUGAUAAAAAGUCCAUCAUUUGGGACGAGAAGGAAAGUGUUACCAAAAUAGAUGCCGGUAUGCUCACAACAAAACCUGUUCCAGAUGAGUUGGCGGAAGAAGAGGAAAACAAACGUUAUGCUGCCUUUAGAAAUCAACUAAACGCGGAAGUUCCGAGGUGGUACAUGUACGACUGCUUCAGAGUGAUAGGUCCUAGCCGCAGAAAAAAAGAUCAAGUAAUUUGGGUUCAUUGGUGUCCUGAUACAGGCCACGUGAAACAGAAAAUGUUGUACGCAGCAUCUAAAGAUGCCUUCAAGAAGGCAGUAGAUGCAAAGAUAAUGAUCGAGUGCUCGGAUUUCGAUGACAUUGAUCACGAUCGACUUCUUUCUAUUCUCAAAUAAGAGAGUUUCAAGAAACGAAGUGCUUUGUGAAGAGGCUGUCGAAUAGAGCUUAGUGGAUCAACGCAAUCGUAGUUUAAUUGUAGUGGAUACAAUGAGUUUCUUCCGGUUAUUGGAAACUUCCAUCUGUCCAUGUUGACGUGCAGAACUUGGGACCUGUUUUUGAUAGUUAUCAAAACAUGCUUUGAAUCGAUGGACCAAACGAAUGUAUGCUUCGGAAAUUGUCAACAAACUAUGGAUGAAUUUUAUGUCAUGUGUGGUUAAAUCCUGCAAAAAAAUGUUCAACUGGUCUGGUCCCAGAGAUCAAGACAUUGGUGCAUGUGACUUAUUUUUGGGAAAACAAAUCAAAUUUGGUUGAUACAAAAAACUGGGGGCUGAAAACUGAAUGUUUCUGAAGACCACAUCAUAACAAGAAUUCGCCUAAGUUUACUGAUCCAUUGCAAAUAUUCUGGUACUUGCAGUUAGCUUUAUGCUUAAUUUCGUUAGUAGGGCAUGUGAUUUGCCCCCUUUUUUUAUUGGGUAGUCCCCGCCUGCUGACAGUAUGCCAUUGUAAGGUGACGGUGUGUUUACAAAAAGUCAUGGAUGUAAACAGAACUCUUUUUAUUUGAAGGAAUUCAUUGACCUUUCCUCACUUGAGUUAUGAAAACAUAUAUUCAGCACAUUAUCACAUCAACAAUUCUGCUUAAUAUGUGUUAGACUUCCUGUAAAAAAAGAAAAUCAUAAAAAGUUGAGAAUAUUUGGUCAUUUAAUGGGUAAUGGUACCAAAUAUUCUCAACUUUUUUGGAUUAUUUCCUCUUUUAUUCAGAGUCUGAAACUGAUUAUUAAUAUAUUUGGUUUAAGUUAAUGACAUUGCUUGAUUCAGAAAUAUAUAAAAAUAAUUUGUUUGCCAACAUAUUUUACAAGAGAUUUGGUUGGCAGUUUAGAAUAGCAGAACAAUUCUUGUGUGGUGGCUAGAAGUUUUUACUACACUGUAGUAAAGUGUCUCGCUAUCUAAUCUCCAAGUAAAGCCCUUGCAGUAACUUCAGAAUGUAUAGUAUUGUUGUUCUGGUAGUCUCACAAUCAAUGAAAGGCUCUUGCAGUGACUUCAGAAUGCAUGCUAUUGAUGUUGUUCUGGUAGUCUGGUAGCAUUCACUUCAGUAUGCUAAUACAUGAUAUUGCUGUAGUUCUGGUAUUACUAUUAGGUUUCAAAAUGAUCAGAUAUAUCACUGACACAUUUUUAUGUAAGUUCAACAAAAUUGUAGGUAUACAGCUUGCUAGUAAUGUAUCUUUUAUUGGUUUAUACCCACCGGUGUACUGCUUGAAUUGCACAGUGUUGAUACAAAAAUGAAGGAAUUUAUAACUGCCACUAUGAACCAUCUACAUACAUCUAGUAUCUUGUAGGCCCAACCCGAUCUCACCUGUCACCAGCAAGUAUUAACUUCCAUUUCACCAAUACCAGGAGAAGCAUAAUCAUUGAACUGUUUUCCUCAACUUUUAAAAGUGGUCUGGUAGUAAGACAUUUUUUGGUCUGGUGGUUCAACUUUUUUAUAGAAAAGCCAUCUUCAAAUCAAAUAUGGCCCGGUUGUAUGUCUUAAUGGGCUGGAGGUACAAAAUAAGAUUCAAUUUCGGUUUGGUGGCCGCUCGAACUCCCAAUAGUGGAGUGGCAGUGGAGAACACUGGAACUCCCUUGUCAAUGUAACCAAUCAAUCCAUAUCAUUUAUCUAUUCUACUUUUUUUCAACCGUGAUUGUGUCAUAUCUAGGUAAAUACCUCGAAGUUGUAUUUAGAGGGGCAUUUAGUCAUGCUUUAAGAUUUGAAUGGGAGGGGAUCCCUUGCUAUCCCUCGCAGUGCCAAUCUCACCAAUUUUCUAUUGUGUAUCAGUAUCUGUUAUUUUUCCUGUUUUCAACCUAUUGCUUUUUUUCGAUGAAACGAGUGCACAUGAAACUUGAUUAAAUCAACAGCUAGGUCUUAAAAA